rnacentral:lncRNA from 1 species
UGGCUCCCCCGGACAGCCCCCAGGAUAGCUAAUGAGGCCAGGGGAAAGGGCCCCAACAAACCAGGUGAGGCAAAGAAGGACCCUCCCAACUCGGGCAAGGUGAAAAAAGCAGCCAAGAGGCCAGCAGAGCUGCCGACGUCUCCCAAAUUAGAUGCAGCCAAGGAGAAGCCCCCACCCCCCCCAGCAGGGCAGUGAGGCUGAGGACACAAAGGCAAAGCCAUGUAGGCCUCUUCCUGUGCCAGUGGGCUCAGCAAGAAGCCAAAGGCCAAAGGCAGCAGGAGCAGCUAAGGAGACGCUGAGGCUCACAGGAAUAUCAAAGCUGGGAGUAAGAGUUCAAAACCCACGGCUAGCAAGGUCAAGAACGGUGCUGCUUCCCCCACCAAAAAGAAGGUGGUGGCCAAGGCCAAGGCCCCUAAAAGGGCAGCUGCCCAGGGUGCUGGGCAGGAGCCAAACACCAAGGCAGCUUCUCCUGCUAGGGGCAGUGGGUCCAAGGUGGUGCCUGCACACCUGACCGGGAAGACAGAGGCCUCCAAGGGCCUGAGAAAGCCUGGGUUGUCCAUCAAGGCCUCAUCAUCCAAAGUGUUCAAUCAGAGGGCUGAGGCCU